CAUAUCUUGACAAGUAGAUACGAAAAUGUGGUUAUUCAUUUCUUUAGUUACUUAUAAAACCAUAAUUUCUAAUUCUACGCAACCAUAUUUUAUGACUUUGCAAAUUUACUUAGCAACUAGAUAGGAAAGUGCAACAUGUCAUGUAUUCCCUACCAAAUCUUGGAGAAAAACUCCAUAAUAUGGUGUUGGUGUUGAUUGCAUGCACUUGCAGUCCUCCAAAAUAGAUGGCAGACAUGAAUUGCAAGAUUAUUAAAGGCUUUGUUUCCAUCCAGUUAGAGAGAGAGAGAGAGAUAGGUAGAGAGAGAGACUAAUCGAGAUAUGUCGAUGGUGAUGUUUGAUAGAGAAAAGUGAAGUAAGAGGUUGAUGGCCGCAGAGGGAGCCAUCAACGAGGCACAUCGCCUUGGCAAUGACAACAUCGAGGCGCUUUUAUUUUCUCCAAUUUUGUGUGUUCAUCUCUACUUGGUUUCAUGGUCAGUACGAGCGACACAUCUUGAAUGUAUUCUUCAUUUUACCAUGCUUUCUACUACUACACAUGUCAUAUUAAUUAUGAGUUGAAUGUCCACGAUGAGGAGGUAUUACAAUGCGACUACAAGGGGUUCAAAAAGCAUGUUCUCAAUGGGGGGGAAUCACGCGGUGACUAGAAGACACUACAAGUGAGUGAUGGAUGAAAAUAUAUUAUGUUAUAAUUAAUAAAUACCAUUGGAAUAUUAAUUAUCAAAUAAUGGGUGGACAGUUUGGCACCACUAAGCCAUGCCGGCCGCUGAUAUAUCGUGCCUAUUGAUUAUUUUCCCCUUAGGAAUCUUUUUAUUAUAUUGCGAUUUUCCUAAUUCCAUGUAAUGUCACGAGCAUACUUAUCUCCAAAAUCCAAAAGGCAUGAUUCGCCUUAUUCUUCUGUUUGAUACUCACCGCACAAGUGUGUCCUGGUCAUCAAUAUGGCAACAAAGAAAUGCAAGCAUGCAUUGGAGCAAUCGCAUACCUAGGACAUCCUAUACCGUGGCCCAUGUCAUGAGACCAGAUUCGUUUGUUGACUGUGUCACAUUCAGCUCGUAAAUUCUAGCUUGGGUCUUGCACCUUCGUGUGCCACCGCUUGGCUAGUCCAAGUGAAACGAUAACUUUAUUUGGGGAGGAAACGUACAUCCAUGACCUUAAUGUAAUGGUACCCCCUUGAUUGUAUUUUUGUCAUUUGGAAAACCUAUACCAUGUUCCUCGCAUGCCCUACAAUCGAGACUAGACUCUUCCCUUUUGUUCAUUCAUUCGCCGGGGCCAUCAUCACCCAACUGACUUGAAUGAACUAGGAGAUGACACACAUUGUCCAAUGUGAAGAAUUGUGAACCAAGGACCAAAAUCCGGCAACCACACUACAUCUGUCCCCUUUGCCCUCAGCCUUGGCAACAAGCUUCCUACCUGCUCUCAUGUUACUGAGGUGUCAGUAUAUUAAUAGAGCUUCUGGUUGUGUCCUUGCACAUAUUUGGUAAUUAGGGCUAUGCUCUACGUGUAAUUUUAUUGUCUGCACUAAGGCAAAACACAUUUCGAGCUCAAUUGUCUCACGUUAAAUCCAUUCAUUGAGCAAUUUUGAGUGUUACUACUUAGAUGUUAUAUUUAUUGGUGGAUUGGGUUGGCUAGGUCCUAAAAUGUAGCUGCUAUUUGAUUGGUGACUAUGAUGACCAACUCGUUUAGUUGUCACAAUGUGUUGAGUAUUUCAUAAAUUUGGACUUUAAAUGGUUGAUGAUGCUUUCCAUUUGAGACUCGACACGUGUAGGUUUGAU
rnacentral:lncRNA from 1 species